UGGCGGAGGUUGGGAGUCCCUGCUUUGACUCUGUUUGCAAACUCUUGUUUCAUUGUUUAAGCGAUUAAAUCUCUUGAGUAGACGCUGUCUCUUUAGAUGCAAUGGCAAAAUAGCACUUUAUGGACUUACACAGAGGACAUCAUGUUUAAUACGGUUCCGGAAAAAUCAGUCAGAAGUUGCUCACGGAGUUUUCACAAUAACUGCUGCUCAUGAUGAACCGAAGCUGCGCGACGUCUCCUGCUGAAAGUUGGAUUACUGUGCACUUCUGGAUCACAGGCUAUUCGCAGCUGGACACAUCCUUCUACACUGUAUGCAAACAUGCAACAUCAUUACACACAGUACAAGGAGUCAGACUGGCAUAUGAGGAGCAAAGGAACCCAGGCAGUAGCAUCGUUUCACAAUGUUUCCAUCACCAUCAUCAGUGGAUGCCUUUGCCGUCCGUAGCCUGAGAUUUCAGAUUUGCAGCAAAAAAUGUGACUUUCCCAUUUAUUGGAAUGCUGUGCAGCCAUCCAUUACAAUGUCACCAAGCCGUAACAAAAGCAGGAGAGGGAAAGUACAAGGCUAUGUUCCCAAAACACACAAGUGACAUACUUUAUGUGGAUGAUGUGAUCAGGCUUGUGUUUGCUGAGGUAUUUGAAGAUAAGCUGAAGGAAACCCCGAUUCCAAUGGACCUGGCAUCAGUUUGAGAGACCUUCAAAGGAGGACGUGAUUGCAUGCCAUCUUCAGUGCAGGGGUCGUCGGAAGCCAAAAUUGUGACCGAUCAGAUCAGGAAGCUCCAAGCAUAUCUGGAGAACAACACACGACAGGAUGAUAACCUUAUAGUGUCGUCUUAAAUAGCACCAGCUGACAAAGCUUUGAUAUGCCAUUUAUCUGAAUAGAUAGCUGUAAGAAAUGAAUUGAACAAUUUUUGAAAGACGAGCACAACAUGGUUACUAAAGUAUGUUUAUUUGUAUAUUGUUUAACAUUUAAAUAUAUAUUUGUAAUAAAUAAACUUUUGACUAACUACUA